UUAAUUUGACUCAACACAGGAAAAUUCACCCGGUUCGGACACCGUAAGAAUUGACAGAUUGAAAGCUCUUUCUCGACUUGGUGGCUGGUAGUGCAUGGCCGUUCCUAGUUGGUGGCGCGAUUUGUCUGGUUUAUUCCGACAAAGGAGGAGGAUGUCUGAUGAGAUUGUGUACCUAUUGUCUGUGUAAGAUACACACUACGUGUAUUUUCAAUUUUUCCGGAACGCUGGAAAAGCCGAAAUUCUACGUUUUCACCUCCGACUUUCCGGCCU
rfam:Ancylostoma ceylanicum strain HY135 Acey_s0495_scaf, whole genome shotgun sequence.